rnacentral:piRNA from 1 species
ACACUUGGAAGUGCUGUGAUUUCAAUGAU